GACGAACGCUGGCGGCGUGCCUAACACAUGCAAGUCGAGCGAUGAAGUUCUUCGGAACGGAUUAGCGGCGGACGGGUGAGUAACGCGUGAGCAAUCUGCCUUACACAAAGGGAUAGCCUCGGGAAACUGGGAUUAAUACCAUAUGACACUUGGUAAUCGCAUGAGGACCAAGUCAAAGAUUUUAUCGGUGUAAGAUGAGCUCGCGUCUGAUUAGCUAGUUGGUGGGGUAAAGGCCUACCAAGGCGACGAUCAGUAGCCGGCCUGAGAGGGUGAACGGCCACACUGGAACUGAGACACGGUCCAGACUCCUACGGGAGGCAGCAGUGGGGAAUAUUGCACAAUGGGCGCAAGCCUGAUGCAGCGACGCCGCGUGAGCGAAGAAGGUUUUCGGAUCGUAAAGCUCUGUCCUCUGGGAAGAAAAAAAUGACGGUACCAGAGGAGGAAGCCCCGGCUAACUAACGUG
rnacentral:rRNA from 1 species